rnacentral:lncRNA from 1 species
AUUGUUGUUGCCAUUAUCAAUACAGAUAAAGCUAUUGCUGUUAUCGUUGCUAUCAUUGCCAUAACUGCUGUGAUAACAAUGCCACAUCCUUCGGUCUGGUGCCAGUAACAAGAACACAUGAAAACUGUUGUGAAUCUGGCCGCACAGUGGGGAGGCAACGUGCCAUGGAUUCAAGUUCUCAACGAACAAGGCAGUGGUUAUGUAAUUAAACGGAAGAGGACAUCAUCGUCCACCCUUCUCCUCGAGCAACCCACUGCAUAUUGUACGGAAGGUGAAGUUCUUGAGUAUGACAUCAGCGGUGGAAGCUGAUGACACAGAUGGCGCUUGGCGCUUGCCCUGAGAGUUUUUUUCCACCUGUCACGGGGGCAGAUUCGAGCGCCAGCUUUUCCAGAUUUGUUCACCUGCCACGGGGACAGAAAGCACAAUACAUCAGGGGCUCUGCUGCUGCUCAAGAGCAAGUUGAGAGCAAUGCCACUUGAACAACUUCAUCUUGAACAUCGAGCGAGUGACAACGCCUGCAAACCUUUGGUCACGCAGGCAAAAGUUUUCCUGUAAUAAGUGAAUAAACAAGGCAAAUGGUUAUUUCCACUUGUAAUCAAACGCAUAAAAAUAAAACAUUC